rnacentral:rRNA from 1 species
GACGUAGGGGGCGAGCGUUGUCCGGAUUUAUUGGGCGUAAAGCGUGCGUAGGCGGCUGCGCAAGUCGGGUGUGAAACCCCGGGGCUCAACCCCGGAACUGCAUCCGAUACUGCGUGGCUAGAGGUAGGUAGGGGAGAUCGGAAUUCCUGGUGUAGCGGUGAAAUGCGCAGAUAUCAGGAGGAACACCGGUGGCGAAGGCGGCUACCUGGACCGAUAUUGACGCUGAGACGCGAAAGCGUGGGGAGCAAACAGG